CUCUACAGCCAUACCACCCUGAACAUACCCGAUCUCAUCUGACCUCGGAAGCUAGCAGGAUCGGGGCUGGUUAGUACUUGGAUGGGAUGUCAUAAUCAACAACAGAAAAUGGAAU
rnacentral:rRNA from 1 species